CACGGGUGAGUAACGCGUAGAUAACCUGUCUUCAUGGUCUGGAAUAAUACGCCGAAAGGGGUACUAAUACCGGAUAUUCUUGCUUUUCAUAAGUUAUGCAAGCAAAGGUGGCCUCUGCAUAUGCUACUGCAUGAAGAGGGGUCUGCGUACCAUUAGCUAGUAGGUGGGGUAAUGGCCUACCUAGGCGACGGAUGGUUAGCGGGUCUGAGAGGAUGAUCCGCCACACUGGCACUGGAACACGGGCCAGACUCCUACGGGAGGCAGCAGUGAGGAAUAUUGCGCAAUGGGGGAAACCCUGACGCAGCGACGCCGCGUGAGUGAAGGAAGGCCUUCGGGUCGUAAAGCUCUGUCAAGAGGAAAGAAGUGUACAAUGGCUAAUACCUGUUGUAUUUGACGGUACCUCUAAAGGAAGCACCGGCUAACUCCGUGCCAGCCGCUGC
rnacentral:rRNA from 1 species